CCAGACUCCUACGGGAGGCAGCAGUGGGGGAUAUUGCACAAUGGGGGAAACCCUGAUGCAGCGACGCCGCGUGAGUGAAGAAGUAUUUCGGUAUGUAAAGCUCUAUCAGCAGGGAAGAAAUACUGACCAUAGGGUCAGCAGACGGUACUUGACUAAGAAGCCCCGGCUAACUACGUGCCAGCAGCCGCGGUAAUACGUAGGGGGCUAGCGUUAUCCGGAAUUACUGGGCGUAAAGGGUGCGUAGGUGGUUUCUUAAGUCAGAGGUGAAAGGCUACGGCUCAACCGUAGUAAGCCUUUGAAACUGGGGAACUUGAGUGCAGGAGAGGAGAGUGGAAUUCCUAGUGUAGCGGUGAAAUGCGUAGAUAUUAGGAGGAACACCAGUUGCGAAGGCGGCUCUCUGGACUGUAACUGACACUGAGGCACGAAAGCGUGGGGAGCAAACAGGAUUAGAUACCCUUGUAAC
rnacentral:rRNA from 1 species